UCUCUCUCACUCACACACACACACACACACACACACACACACACACACACACACACAGGUUGCGCACACUGCUUGUGUACUAUGAGUCAUGUGACUAGCUGUGAAGGAUCAUACCAAGGGUUGCAAAAUUCCCAGGUUUUCCAUAAAUCCUGCUCGGACGAUUCCAGAUUUCCUGCAACCGGGAUUUAUGAAAAGCCUGGGAAUUUUGGCAAAAUGACUGGAAUCAUACCAGAGAUGUCUUUUGGACUAUAGUCAACAUGCCACUCAGAUAAUCUGACCACUUCUCUCAGUCCAGGUAAUCUGACCACUUCUCUCAGUCCAGGUAAUCUGACCACUUCUCUCAGUCCAUGUAAUCUGACCACUUCUCUCAGUCCAUGUAAUCUGACCACUUCUCUCAGUCCAUGUAAUCUGACCACUUCUCUCAGUCCAUGUAAUCUCACCACUUCUCUCAGUCCAGGUAAUCUGACCACUUCGCUCAGUCCAGAUAAUCACCACUUCUCUCAGUCCAGAUAAUCUCACCACUUCUCUCAGUCCAGAUAAUCUCACCACUUCUCUCAGUCCAGAUAAUCUCACCACUUCUCUCAGUCCAGAUAAUCUCACCACUUCUCUCAGUCCAGAUAAUCUCACCACUUCUCUCAGUCCAGAUAAUCUCACCACUUCUCUCAGUCCAGGUAAUCUGACCACUUCUCUCAGUCCAGAUAAUCUCACCACUUCUCUCAGUCCAGGUAAUCUGACCACUUCUCUCAGUCCAGGUAAUCUGACCACUUCUCUCAGUCCAGAUAAUCUCACCACUUCUCUCAGUCCAGAUAAUGUCAUUAGUGUAUGUAGCUGCUGUUUCCCUGCUCAGUGGGAUCCCACAGUGUUCUGGCUGAAUAGGGGAUGGUCUGUUCCGGCCCUCUUCCGCCUGGUUCUCGCCUGCUGUUUCUGGGGAGUUUAGUAGUAGUGGUGGUGGUGACUGGUGUGUACAGCUCAGGAACUAGGAGUGGAACACACACAGGCACACUGUCGCCACGGCAGCACCAGUGAAAGCUGCUCAUUUAGUGUCCCAAUUGGCACCCUAUUCCCUUUAUAGUGUACUACUUUUGACCAGAGCCCUAUGACCCCUGGUCAAAAGUAGUGCACUACAUAGUGAAUAGGGGGCCAUUUUGGUGGCGUCAUACAGAGUGGGACUGCAGGGUAGUUUAACGAGCCCACCUCAAUCUCUGUGUUGUAAUUAAGGUUAUGCUGCAUUUCUUUUAGGAGUCAGAAACGCUGCUGGCUGCAUGUUGAUGAAGGAUGCUGAUUAAUAUAGCACAGAGGGGUGUCUGGAACACCAGGCGGAAACAUAGCUGCCCUUUUAAUGAUUCCUUUUGUAUACCAACCCCCUACAUUGUCCGUCUUUCUGGGACCAUUUGAAAUGCUUGGAUCCUUUCUGAUUGUAAUGUGAUUUGCUAUUUUAAAAUAUUUGUUUGCGG